UCCAGACUCCUACGGGAGGCAGCAGUGGGGAAUAUUGCACAAUGGGGGAAACCCUGAUGCAGCGACGCCGCGUGAGCGAAGAAGUAUUUCGGUAUGUAAAGCUCUAUCAGCAGGGAAGAAAAAAAUGACGGUACCUGAGUAAGAAGCACCGGCUAAAUACGUGCCAGCAGCCGCGGUAAUACGUAUGGUGCAAGCGUUAUCCGGAUUUACUGGGUGUAAAGGGAGCGUAGGCGGCGCGUUAAGUCUGAUGUGAAAACCCGAGGCUCAACCACGGGAGUGCAUUGGAAACUGGCGGGCUGGAGUGCCGGAGAGGUAAGCGGAAUUCCUAGUGUAGCGGUGAAAUGCGUAGAUAUUAGGAGGAACACCAGUGGCGAAGGCGGCUUACUGGACGGCAACUGACGCUGAGGCUCGAAAGCGUGGGGAGCAAACAGGAUUAGAUACCCCGGUAAU
rnacentral:rRNA from 1 species